GACGAACGCUGGCGGCGUGCUUAACACAUGCAAGUCGAACGGAAAGGCCCUGCUUUUGUGGGGUGCUCGAGUGGCGAACGGGUGAGUAACACGUGAGUAACCUGCCCUUGACUUUGGGAUAACUUCAGGAAACUGGGGCUAAUACCGGAUAGGAGCUCCUGCUGCAUGGUGGUGGUUGGAAAGUUUCGGCGGUAGGGGAUGGACUCGCGGCUUAUCAGCUUGUUGGUGGGGUAGUGGCUUACCAAGGCUUUGACGGGUAGCCGGCAUGAGAGGGUGACCGGAGACAUGGGGACUAAGAUAAGGACCAGAAUACAACGGGAGGCAGCAGUGGGGAAUAUUGCACAAUGGGCGGAAGCCUGAUGAAGAAACGCCGCGUGCGGGAUGACGGCCUUCGGGUUGUAAACCGAUUUAGACUGUGACGAAGAGUGAGUGACGGUAAUGGGUAAAGAAGCACCGGCUAACUACGUG
rnacentral:rRNA from 1 species